CAAGAGGUCAAGAUGAAAGGGGCGUGGCUAAGCAGAACGGAGGUUGAAACUUACUUUAGGUGUAACCACGUGGCCGAGAGUAAGCUCCGUAAGAAAGCACGUCUGCCUUCCUCACCUUUAUAUCGCCAGCACCUACUGUGCGCUCAAGUAUUUGUUGAGAGAGAAAAUUAAUACUUCAUCUUUUCCAAACACUUCAUAAUAUAAGUGAUAGAAGGAACUUUGGAAAGAAGGGUUAAAUGAGAACUGCUCAAGAAUAAGCCCACCUGUCACCAGAUUUUCCAAACAUUUGAGAUUUUAAUUUUCUGAUUUAUUGACCAAAACAGUCUUAGAAAGAAAAAAUGACAAAAGUAAAAUUAAAAGCAAUGUAUAAUAAUUAGGAUGUGGGAGAGACUUCUGGUUGCCUAUGGAAAUAUUCUUCGUUAGUACCAGAAUCCCGGACAAUAAGCCAAAGUGAAGAACCACACUCCCAGAAUUGGCAGAUGGGGUGGCCAGAGAUUUGUAGGUCCUUCUAGUUCCUCUACUUGGGAUGCCGCCACAGCAUGGCUUGAUGAGCGGGACAUAGGUCUGCGCCCAGGAUCCGAACCAGCGAUCCCCAGGUUGCCAAAGUGGAGAACGUGAACUUAACCACCCAGCCACGGGGCCAGCCCCUUAACCAUUCUCUUUUAUCCAAAAAAGUUUUUAAAGGAUUCAGGGUGGGGAGGAAUUCUCCUUAAAAGCUUUAUUUUAGGAAAAGGCACAAGAUAAUAAAAAAAAGUUUACUAGGUGCCAGCACUGUUUUAAGUGGUUUAAAUUUAUAAACUCCUUUAACUAUAAGAUAUCUCUAUGAAUACCUUUCUCUUAUUACUUCCACUUUAUCGAUGAGGAAAUGGAAGUACAAUGGGGCUAAUUUGCCCAAAGUCAUAAAGUUAGUUCAUGUUAGAGCUAGGAUUUGAACCCAAGAAGUCCGGCUUCAGAAGCAACAAUUUUAAUCCCUAUGCCCAGGGGUAAUUAAUAUUACAUUCAAAAUAUUUUCAUAAGAUUGGCUUUAAUAAUUAAAUGAACUAACUGGAAAUGUCAGGGAUUAUCUGGCACCUAGAACAUAUACAGACACAUUUAAAAUCCAUUUCCCCUGGAAGAGAAUGGAUGGUAGGACGUGUAACUGCCAGUGUGAACUAAGCAAAGUUAAUAAAUAGGCUGAUCGUUGCAAGUGACAUCAGCAAAUGCAAAUCACAGUGACAAUCUGAGCUUUCCAGGCAAAGGAAACUUGCAUUCAAGGGUUUUUAUUAUAAUUCUUCCCCUUUAUUCUGCCUCUUGAAGAGUCUCUUAGAUAUCUUGGUCCCAGGAGUUGUUUAUGUUGCCAUUACUUGACAAUUUGGUUAAAAUUUAGUCUUAUUUUAUAAAUAUCUGUGGGGAAUAGAAAAAUAAAAUAAUGCUACUGAUAAUAAUAAAGUUGAGACCAAGAUGAAAAAAGCCGUUAAUCUUUGGUGAGAAUGAGAUACUUAUUAGACUUAAGUUGUUGACUAUUUAUUAAAUUGACAAAGAACAUGCAUGAAAUGUUGGAACUAUAUUAUUGAAAAUUGUACGAAAAUG
ensembl:lncRNA